UAUAGAAGCCAACAUUGAAAAGGGAGAAGUUGCCGAAGGUCAAACCACUGGCAACAGAAAGAAAUUCUUCACAGGAAAUGACUUGAAUUUAAUUUGCCAUGGACUUCUUCAGCUGGAUACCAGAAAUCCAUUCGUUCUGUACCAAUCCUGCGCUGAGCACCUGAAAGUGCUGAGGCCCAAUAAUGAGGGCAGAACACUUGGCUUCAGAGAGUACACAGCAUCUGGCAGAGAAAGAAAUAUACCACAAAUGGGGCGUUUCGGAGGUUAAGGAAAAUUCCCUCUCCCCGCACACUGGGGGCACUGAAGAAAUGAAGAACACGAUGCAUCCACUCUGAAGCAGAGAUUCAGAAAAAAGCUAAAGGAGUUGACUUGCUUGAGUGUAUGCCCCUGGGAGGAAGGUGUGUAAGGUUAUGUAAGAUGGAACCAAUUUUAUCCCGUGUGAUGCUAGGAAAAGAAUGGAAAGCCACACCACAGAGGGGUCUAAAUUGAGCGCAUUGCGGUCAGUGUUCAGCCUGAGCUGAGAAAAGAAACCAGGCUCCCCAUGGGGAGGCAGGAACUUUCUCAGUGAUUUUUGAAGUCCAUGUAAAUAAAUAAAUAGCUAACAUUUAUUGAGCACUUGUUAUGUGAGCACUCUUCUAAGAGAUUUGUGUGCAUUGAUUUAUUUUCAUCACAGAACUUGACAGGUG
rnacentral:lncRNA from 1 species